rnacentral:lncRNA from 1 species
ACCUAACCCCAAACCCCUAAUUCCCUCUAACCCUCUUCGUCGUCACCCCUCUCAUUCUCUCUCAAACUCCUUCUGCCCUUACUCUAAUCCCCCUUCAUCGUUGUUUGCUCGCCGUUAACAAUGAUGGCUCACCACUACUCCCAGCCUUAAUGGCUCUCCUAUGACCGAGAUUCAUGUUGUCUUUGAGGUCCUCAAGGGACCAGUGGCCGGUCCGCUCACCCCUAGGCCUGUUCUCACCGUCCUCAGGCCAUCAUGGCUCGAUUGAGUAAGAUUGUCCUAUUUUUUGUUAGAUCUAUGGUUUCUAAGUCGGUCUCUCUUUAUCUUUGGGUCAUUUUUCUCGAAACCCUAAUUCCCUCUCUUAACUCUUUAGAUCUAUAACAGAUCUGAGAAUAUUUGAACUAUUUUUUGCUUGUUUUAUGAAAAAACCUUUCGAUUUUCAAAGCAUCGCUUCAUUUUCCUUCAUAACUAGGGUUUCUGAAACUUUCUUUAAGAACGAUUUUGAUUUCUAAGUGUUGUUCUCUGAUCCCUGAGUGUUUAAUCGGGUUUUGUUAAGCUUUCCCUUUAAACCUAACUAGUUAUGUCGAAAACCCCUAAUUUUUUGGCUUUAGUCUUGGAUUCUGAGUUCGUCUUUACUGUUUGUUCAUUUGAUUUGUCUGUAUGUUUGAUUCUCAUGAAUAUUCUUCAAUUAAUUAGAGUAUUUUAUGAUUUUCACCCUAGUAAUAUCUUAUUAUGGUUUUCGAUUUGAUUCUUCCUGUUUAUAUUCCAUUUAUUGGUUUAUUCAGGGAAUUCUAUACUAUUUCCCUUAAUAUUAGUACUAUUUUUCAAUUCUUAAAUCCUUGAUUUACUGUGUUGAUACUCUUAUACCGAUUUCCGACUAUUUUUCCUAUUUUCAUUACCCUUAAAUUAUUUUUUACCUUAUUAUGUGGUUGACUGUAUUAUCAAUUGAUUCCUACUGUUAUUUUCUUAAUAAGACCCUUAUGUAUCUAUCCCUAAUUACAUAUUUUGUACCUAUGUUGUUUGAAUUCUUUCCUUAUUUGUUACAUGCUUUCUACCGUCGGUAAAUUACUCCCUUAAUUAAGGGAGACUUGGCUGAUUUUCGUUCUUAAUUGAUUAUGUAGUUCUAUAAUUGCUGAACAAUUGAUUCUUGACUUAUUUACCUAGAUUUCAAACUUUUAUAUAUACUCUCUUCUCUUUUCAUUAUGCACACGAACACAUUGGUUCAAAAGCUCUCUCUCUCUCACACGCAAAACUUUCUGCUUUACUUACUACUGUUCUAAGUUAGCCGGCUGCAAGCCAAGGCUGACUAUUGUGCUCUCUUGCUCCUUUACUGUCCUCUUUGCUGGUAUUUCCUGAUUGGAAUUAAAAGUUUCAAAACAACCUGUUUCUUUUAUUACUUCAAUUCCUCAUGUUUCUAGUCUAUUUUCAUUUAUAGUUUUGUUGUUCAACUUGCAACUAAUAUGUUUACUUCAUCGUUUCAUCAGCAUGCUUCUGAAUGUGUCCCCUCCCUUAGACUCAGCAUGUUUAUGAAACGUUAUAUCCCUUCUAGUAUACCCCAAUAUGACUCUUCUUUACUAAUAUUUUCGUGCAAAGUAGUUGGCAAUCAUUAAUUAACCUAAUUCUGUAGUUCCUUAACCCUUUAGCAUAUUGUUGAUGUUGUACUUCAGUACUCCUGUAACUAUGUGUUUACCUAUGUGACCUAUGUGUCUCCAAAUCCCAUUACCCCUGUUUGUGGUUGUUGAACCUGCCUUGGUUCUAUGCUCCUUGGUUAUGUAUGAACCUGCUUUGGGUGUUGUGUUUGGAAUAUUGCUUAUUACUCUACUCUCUUUUCAAAACUGUCUCUAUUGUUUUAUUUACAAAACUAUUUCAAACAAGUCUCUUUUUAAACUGUUUUCCUGCUUAAAUCUUUUCAAGCACUUGCAUCUCUUGUGAUGAGGUCAUAACUUGUUUUAAAAGUAAAUUAUGUGUUCUGAGGCCUUAAAACCCUCUCUCUGUCUCACCUCAAUUUGCGUGUCCAGUCCGGGCACGUAGCCGGAAAGCCAAUAUGUGAAAAUCUGUGAAAAAUAAUGAAUUUCGGCUUUAAAAUGAAUUUAAGUUGACUUCGGUCAAUAUUUUGAGUAAACGGACCCAGACCCAUAAUUUGACAGCCCUAGAGGGUCCGUAGGAAAGUAUGGGACUUGGACGUAUGCCUGAAUCGAAUUCCGAGGUCCCAAGCCCGAAAAAUGAAUUUUUGAAGAAAAUUAUUUUUUGGAAUAUUUAUGAGUUUUUGAAAAUUGAAUGUGUUUAAAACUUGAUGGUAUCGAACCCGUAUUUUGGUUCCGACCCGGUACAGGUUUUAUAUGUGAUUUAACAUAAGUCUGUGAUAUUUGGUAAUAAACGAACUUGAGAUGACGUGAAUCGGAUCGUAUCUGAGAAAAUUGGAAGUUCUAAAGAAAUUUCAUGAUUUUGAUGCUACAUUCAUAGUUAAUGUUAUUUGAGUGAUUUGACUGCAUGAGCAAGUCCGUGUGAUAUUUUUAGGGUGGUGGGCAGUUUGGUUUGAAGGCUGAGGGCUCGGGUGAGUUUUGGAUAGGCCACGGAGUAGAAUUCGACUUGGAAAAAUUGCAGUUUUCAGCUGUUCUAUUGCAUGCCUGCAGACUUCACAUUUGCGAAGCCUGUCUCACAAAUGCGAGGGUUGGUUCGCAAAUGCGAACUAGCCCAGGCCAGCAUUCCCUCGCAAAUGCGAGUUUUCAUCGCAAAUGCGAUGCACCACCAGUUACUGCCUUAGUCGCAAAUGCGACUCCUGUAUCGCAAAUGCGACUUCGCAUUUGCGAGAGGUCUAUCACAAAUGCGAAGAAGACUGAAAAAUAUACUGGGUCGCAAAUGCGGCAUUUUGUUCGCAAAUGCGAAGAUUCUGAAGGGUUCACAAUUGCAAACCCUGGUCGCAAUUGCGACAUCAGAGACCUGUAAACUCAUAACUUAGACGCAUUUCAACCAUUUUUCACACUCUUUCAAAACCAAAACACCCUAGGGCGAUUUUUCAAAGGCAACUUCUUCUCCAAAUCAUUUGUAAGUGAUUUCUAACUAGUUUUCUUCAAUCCUUAAUAUGUUUUCACCUGAUUUCAACUCAAAAUCAAUAGUUUUCAUGGGGAAAAUUGGGUGUUUUGGGUAGAACCUAGGUUUUUUCAAAUUUUGGGGAUUUAGACCUCGAUUUGAGGUCCGAUUUCAAAACAAAUUAUAUAUUUGGAUUCGUGGGGGGAUGGCAGGUUUUGGUUCAAACCUUGAUUUUUGACCAAACGGGCCCCAGGUCGAUUUUUUGACUUUUUGAGAAAAACUUUAGAAAAUCUAUUUCAUGCAUUAGAAUUGAUUCAUUUAGCAUUUAUUGAUGUAAUUAAGUAACUUGUGGCUAGAUACGAGCAAGUUGAUGGUGGAAUCAUGAGGUAAAGCAAUAGUUGAGGCUUGAAUUGUGUCUGUUGCAUCGAGGUAAGUGUUUGGUCUAACCUUAGCUUGAGAAAUUAGGAGUUGUGUCCUUUUUUCUAUGUGUUAUUUGUUGAGUACGACAUUAGGCAUGGUGAUGAGUAUCUAUACGUUGGUGUCAAGCAUGAUCGUGAGUCUUAUACUAUGAUUAAUGUGACUAUGUUUCGUAUUGUUCAUGCUCUAUAUGAUAAUUGUUAUUGAGGAAUAUGACUUGUGGAAGUAUUAUUGUUAAUUGAACAUGGUAGAGCGUUGGCUCAAGUUGAGAAUUGAAUUGUUGAACAUUUUAGAGCAUUGGCUCAAGUUAAGAAUUGAAUUGUUGAACAUUAUAGAGCAUUGGCUCAAGUUGUAAAGUAAAUGUGAAAGAAGAAAGGAGAGAGAGAAUCAUGACAUUGUCUCCCUUGCUGGGAUGUUAUUGUUUUGUUAUUGUAUCCCUUGCUGGGAUUUGAUUGUUGUACUAUUGUUCCCUUACUGGGAUUUUAUUGUGANNNNNNNNNNNNNNNNNNNNNNNNNGAGGAAGAAUGUAAAGCACGAAGUGUGAUGUCGUGCCGCACCAUGUACAAUAUUGUGCCGAUUAUAUUGAUUUUAUGGUGAGGAUGAGAGUAAAAGCACGAAGGGUGAUACCGUGCACUUGUCCUUGAUUUUCCUGAUUCUUGCUGAUAAUUGAGUUAUGUUGUCCUUUACGUUUAUUUAUUGAUUUUUCGUUGUUACUUGAUUUUAUUUUGAUAUUAUAGAUUCCCUUACCGUAUUUGCCUUGUGAUUGUUGCUUGGGUGAGGAAGAGUGUAAAGCACGAAGGGUGAUGCCGUGUAUUGUUUUGGGUGAGAGUGUUAAAGCACGAAGGGUGAUGUCGUGCACUUGUCUUCAAUUUCCUAAUUUUUAUUGAUAACUGAGUUACGGUUUCUCUACAAUUAAUUACUGGUUUCCUGUUGAUAAGUGUUGUACCCCACAGCAUGAUUCCCCCCCCCCCUUCCUAUUUUCAAUUGAACUGUGGUGAUCCUCAUAUUUAUUUGUUGUUCUUCUAUUAUUAUUCGAUAUCCCCGCAGCACGUUACCCCCUCCCAUACUUAACUGUACAUUACUCUUCUUCUUUUUUGUUGUAUAUGAUUUAACUGCACAUUUUUAUUUGGUAGUCUGAUCCUAGCCUCGUCACUACUUCGCCGAGGUUAGGCUAGGAACCUACCAACACAUGGGUCGAUUGUGCUGAUACUACACUCUGCACUCUUUUGUGCAGAUCCCAGUGCUGUACACUUCGGACCGCAGUGAGAUUGUUGUUUCUUGUUCAUCAGGCGACCCGAGGUAGUCCUGCAGGCGUCCCCAGGCCUUGGAGUUUCCUUUUAUCUACUAUUCCUGUUUCUUUCAUGUACUUCCAGAGAUAAUAUUGUAUUUAUUUAUUUCAGGCCUUUAUUUGUAGUACUCCUAGACAGUCUGUGAAGUUGUGACACCAGUCUUGGGUAGAUUUGUUAUGGAUUGGCAUUAGCAGUAUUAUUAAAACUUUACAAUGCAGUCUUCCGCUUAUUCAAUUCUGUUGUUAUCUAAUUGUUGGCUCUUAACUGUUAUUAUAUUAAAAAUGGAAACAAG